GGAAGCGUGCCUGAGUGGUUGAAAGGAGCAGUUUCGAAAACUGCCAUACCCGUAAGGGUAUCGGAGGUUCGAAUCCUCCCGCUUCCG
rnacentral:tRNA from 1 species